rnacentral:rRNA from 1 species
UGGGGAAUAUUGGACAAUGGGCGCAAGCCUGAUCCAGCCAUGCCGCGUGAGUGAUGAAGGCCCUAGGGUUGUAAAGCUCUUUCACCGGUGAAGAUAAUGACGGUAACCGGAGAAGAAGCCCCGGCUAACUUCGUGCCAGCAGCCGCGGUAAUACGAAGGGGGCUAGCGUUGUUCGGAUUUACUGGGCGUAAAGCGCACGUAGGCGGACUAUUAAGUCAGGGGUGAAAUCCCGGGGCUCAACCCCGGAACUGCCUUUGAUACUGGUAGUCUUGAGUUCGAGAGAGGUGAGUGGAAUUCCGAGUGUAGAGGUGAAAUUCGUAGAUAUUCGGAGGAACACCAGUGGCGAAGGCGGAUCACUGGAUAGAUACUGACGCUGAGGUGCGAAAGCGUGGGGAGCAAACAGG